ensembl:lncRNA
UCAGAGUCCCAGCAAAGAAAGACUUCAAAUGUCUCUCCGUUGGGAUCCAUCUUGCAACCUGCCUUCCACUGAAAUGAAGAGAUUGGAGAAGAGUGAAGGGGGAAGAAGGAAGAUGGAUUUCAAUAAAACACAGGCAGAUUGCUCUACAUCCAAGAAGAGAAGCACGUGAAGCAGGUCGAGGGAGAUGAUUCUGCCCCUCUACUCUGCUCUUGUGAGACCCCACUUGAAGUACUGGGUCCAGUUCUGGAGCCCCCAACACAAGAAGGACAUGGAGCUGGAGUGGGUCAAGAGGAGGGCCAUGAGGAUGCUCGGAAGGCUGGAGCACCUCCUCUACAAGGACAGGCUGAGUGAGCUGGGGCUGUUCAGCCUGGAGAAGAGAAGGCUCCAAGGAGACCUGAUAGCGGCCUUCCAGUACCUGAAGGGGCCCAACAGGAAAGCUGGGGAGGGACUUUUUAUAAGGAAAUACCCUGGCCAAGCAGAUUGACAGGCAGAUUUUCCUUAACAAAACAUGCGACGUCAACAGCAACCAGAAACGCAUCUCCCUCUGCAAGCAAGUGUCCUGAAAUAAAGGGCCAAAGGAACAUCAGCCCAAUGUAUGAUGAAAACUCUUGUAGGAGAAGAUACAACAGUAGGAUGAUAGCUGAUGAUAACACCUCAAUAGCUGCUCCAUCAAGAAGGAUAUGAGUAUAUUCAAGCCAUUUGCAAACAUUGUGGUGCAAAAAGCCAGUCCAUCAUAAUUCCACGUGGCAGGGGCUGGACUCCUAUCUUGUCAGAAGGAAGGCUGGGACUCCCCGGGUGUUCUGAGCAACACUAAAAUGCCACGAGGUGACCUCUUGUGCCUACUGUGUGAGCCUAUAGCACAUCUCAUCUCCUAAGAAGUUUUCUUGAUUGGGAGCUGAGGAUGUCACAUAGCUGUGUGACAGCCAGUAGCUCUUGCUGGUAUGGUGCUGCUGUGAAGUCUUCCAUCUGUGAACCUGGAGUUGUGUAGCUGUGCAUGAGCCUG